rnacentral:rRNA from 1 species
CGGGACGGGUGAGUAAUGUCUGGGAAACUGCCUGAUGGAGGGGGAUAACUACUGGAAACGGUAGCUAAUACCGCAUAACGUCGCAAGACCAAAGAGGAGGACCUUCGGGCCUCUUGCCAUCGGAUGUGCCCAGAUGGGAUUAGCUAGUAGGUGGGGUAAAGGCUCACCUAGGCGACGAUCCCUAGCUGGUCUGAGAGGAUGACCAGCCACACUGGAACUGAGACACGGUCCAG